AUAUGUAUGAAUGAAAUGAGAUGUUGUGUCAUAAACAAUUCAAAGAAGUUAGAAUUAAAGAAUAAUAAGAGGAACAAGCCAUGUGUUGUUCCAACAUAUUUGCAUCCAUCAUGAGACCCAUUUUCCAUGACAUCUUUAAGGCCUACUUUGCUAUUCUUAACAGCUCCAUUAUUUUAUAUGGAUAGGGUUGUUUAUUAUCCAAUAAGACCAAAAAAAUAUAUUUAACUCUUUUC
rnacentral:lncRNA from 1 species